UGGAGCUGACACUGGGGAGCUGGGGGCGGGGAGGUAGACAAACAUUAAGAGGUAAAUUAAAUAUAUUGUGUUUCAGAUGGCAGUAAGUGCCGUAGAGACAAAUAUACCCAGAAGGCAGAUGGAGAGCCUCAGAGAGGCACUGAUCUAAAUGCGGGAGCCGGAGGAGACCUUGUCAAGCAAAUAUUUGAGGACAGACUUGAAAGGCCCGAGGGAUUGAGCAAUGGGGGUCACUGGAGGAAGAGCGUUCCUGGCAGAGGAAACUCCGAGUGCGAAGGCCCCGAGGCUGGAUUCCGCCUGGCCUGUGCGAGGGUGGCAAGGGUGGCGAGGGAGGCCAAGAGGCUGGCAGCCUGGGAGGAAGCGAGCGCGGAGAGGAGGGGGUCGACCCGCAGAGCUUCGCACACCGCUGGGAGGAGCUGGCUGUUCUCUGGCAUAGAUGGGAGCCAUGGAAGGUCCUGAACAGGGGAAGAUGAGGAAACUGCGGCUCAGAGAGAAGCGCCCGUGUCUAAUGUCACACAGCUAGGCAUGAGAACCCAGGAUCGUGGGGCUCCGGAUGUCAUUCCGUCCCUUUCUCCUCACUGCCUGGGCUCGUCACCUGCUUCUUGCCUUGGCGGUGAGUUUGGUGGCCAAGACGAGUGGUCUUCCAAUUGGCUGGCACAGACUUUCUUCACCUUGAGGUCAAUGCCUUCCAUCUACGUAUGCACAGAACCUCUCAACCACGUGGUGAGUAUCCUUGUCUCUCACUGACAUCUCGCGAAGAUGACCAGAGCCAAGAAAGGGAGUCAGAGAAAGAGAAACUGAGAGGCGGAGAGAGGGAGAGACAGAGACUCCGAGAGGCUGCCAGACUCCGAGAAAGACGGAGAGAGGCAGAGGAGACACUGAGGCUCAGAGAGGUAGAGUCACUGACCCGGGGCCACAGAGCCAGGAGGAAGAGCCAAGAUCCAGGUCACGAUCUGUUUGAUUCCAGAACCAAGGACGACCUGCCUGGGCCAGCAUUGCCCCAGGCCUACUGUGUGCGGCCCUGGGCUGGGAGUGUGCCACGUGGGACGACAGGCGGUGACCAGGUCAGCACACAAGCGUCGUCGAGAACGUCAGCCAGCAGUGAGAAGAAAGGAUACCCGGUGCUUCAAGAAUGCGUACCCACGUGAAGAGGCGGGGACAGGCUGCGAGGCUCUGCUCCACUCUGUUAAAGGGGCCGUGGGUUUCGGGGGCCUCUGCCCUCCUGCCGUUCCCCUUCGUUUGAAUCGUCUGCCCUAAAUUUUUUUUUUAGAAUGUCGUGCUUUAUAAUUGAGUAAAUUAAAAACACAAACAAAACCAACAUGAAUGGAGGGGUUGGAAAUCAUGUGUCCAAAGAUGAUUUAAGGCUGGGAAAGAAAGGCAGGGUCCACAAGACACUGCUCACCGCAUGGGCUUCCGGGAAGGGGGCCAGAGGCAGGGGGCACGAGGGGGCCUCACUUCGCCCUGGGCGCCCAUUUCGACUGUGCGUGUAAUUCAAAAACUGAUGAUAAUAAAAUAAGCAAAGGUAUUUGUUCAAUGAAACUUCAAGUUGGAUUUCAUUUUAAGAAAAUUAAAAAAGCAAGUAACGGUUGGAUCACAACGGAAAUUAUCUGUUAACUGAGCUGAAUUCCCACGAAAAUUUUUGGGUGGUUCUCUCUGGGUGACCUUGUUUGC